rnacentral:rRNA from 1 species
GACGAACGCUGGCGGCGUGCUUAACACAUGCAAGUCGAACGGAAAGGCCCUGCUUUUGUGGGGUGCUCGAGUGGCGAACGGGUGAGUAACACGUGAGUAACCUGCCCUUGACUUUGGGAUAACUUCAGGAAACUGGGGCUAAUACCGGAUAGGAGCUCCUGCUGCAUGGUGGGGGUUGGAAAGUUUCGGCGGUUGGGGAUGGACUCGCGGCUUAUCAGCUUGUUGGUGGGGUAGUGGCUUACCAAGGCUUUGACGGGUAGCCGGCCUGAGAAGGUGACCGGCCACAUUGAGACUGAGAUACGGCCCAGACUCCUACGGGAGGCAGCAGUGGGGAAUAUUGCACAAUGGGCGGAAGCCUGAUGCAGCAACGCCGCGUGCGGGAUGACGGCCUUCGGGUUGUAAACCGCUUUCGCCUGUGACGAAGCGUGAGUGACGGUAAUGGGUAAAGAAGCACCGGCUAACUACGUG